rnacentral:rRNA from 1 species
GAUGAACGCUGGCGGCGUGCUUAACACAUGCAAGUCGGACGGGAAGUCGUGUUUCCUGUGGCGGUCGGGUGAGUAGCGCGCGAGAACCUGCCCUUGGGAGAGGAACAACAACUGGAAACGGUUACUAAUACCCCGUAGGCUGAAUAGCAAAAGAAGUGAUGCGCCCGAGGGGGGGCUUGCGACUGAUUGGCUAGGUGGUGAGGUAAUAGCUUACCAAGGUGAUGAUCAGUAGCGGGUCGGAGAGGAUGAUCAGCCACACUGGGACGGAAAGACGGACCAGGCUCCUACGGGAAGCAGGAGAGGGGAAUACUCAGCAAUGGGAGAAAGGCUGAGGGAGCCAUGCGGCGUGGAGGUAGAAGGACCAGGGGUAGUGAACUUCUUUUGGAGGAGAAGAAACAAUGACGGUAUCUGAGGAAUAAGCAACGGCUAACUACGUG